GUAGGUGGCAAGCGUUGUCCGGAAUUAUUGGGCGUAAAGCGCGCGCAGGCGGUUCUUUAAGUCUGAUGUGAAAGCCCACGGCUCAACCGUGGAGGGUCAUUGGAAACUGGAGAACUUGAGUACAGAAGAGGAGAGCGGAAUUCCACGUGUAGCGGUGAAAUGCGUAGAGAUGUGGAGGAACACCAGUGGCGAAGGCGGCUUUCUGGUCUGUAACUGACGCUGAGGCGCGAAAGCGUGGGGGGAGCAAACAGGAUUAGAUACCCUGGUAGUCCACGCCGUAAACGAUGAGUGCUAAGUGUUAGGGGGUUUCCGCCCCCCCCUUAGUGCUGCAGCUAACGCAUUAAGCACUCCGCCUGGGGAUACGGCCGCAAGGCUG
rnacentral:rRNA from 1 species